GACGAACGCUGGCGGCGUGCUUAACACAUGCAAGUCGAACGGGAACCUUUAUUUCGGUAAAGGUGAGAGUGGCAAACGGGUGAGUAACACGUAGGCAACCUGCCGACAGGAUGGGGACAACAUUCCGAAAGGAAUGCUAAUACCGAAUGAAGUCACCGGAGGGCAUCCUCUGGUGAUGAAAGAUGGCCUCUGAAUAUGCUAUCACCUGUCGAUGGGCCUGCGUCUGAUUAGCCAGUUGGCGGGGUAACGGCCCACCAAAGCGACGAUCAGUAGCCGGUCUGAGAGGAUGAACGGCCACAUUGGGACUGAGACACGGCCCAGACUCCUACGGGAGGCAGCAGUGGGGAAUCUUCCACAAUGGGCGAAAGCCUGAUGGAGCAACGCCGCGUGAGUGAAGAAGGUCUUCGGAUCGUAAAGCUCUGUUGCACGGGACGAAAACCGG
rnacentral:rRNA from 1 species